GGAGAAUACAUAUGAUUUUAUCUCCUUUCUUCUGCUAGGUAGAGGGAGUGGGGGCUGAUCUCCACGACCCAGUAAAGGACAUGGCUGGUUGUGCUUUGCUAAUGUUCAUUGUUCCUGAGCUUCAUGUGUGUUCCUAGGAAAAGGGCCUUGGUGACAUUUCCAUUGUGAGUCUCGAGGGGCUUUGUCUCCUCAAGACAAAGAGACUAUGAAAAUUUUUCCUCUCUGUACUACUCUACAGCCUUGUUUUCAAACUUACUCCCUAGCCUCCUGCUUUGCACUGCUUCAGAAGUUGGCAAACAUCUUGAGGGAAGCCUGGCUCUGUUGACACUCCUGGUCUCCAGUUUUGACAUCCUAGCCCCAGAUGAUGCACCUAAAGUUGAAAAGCUGACUUCCACCUCCUGGGCAACGUGGCUCAGGUUUGUGCGCAGGUCAAGACAAAACUGAUGUCAACACCAGGAAUGAAGGAGAAAUCUGUGGCUUAAUGAAGCAGCUUAACAAUUAUGUGCCCAGGUGGAGACCCAGCGUGAAGGAGGCUGUGUCUGUAAGGCAGGGAAAAAAGCCUUCACCAGGAACCAGUGCUGGCACCCUGAUGUCAGACUUCAAGCCUCCAAAGCUGUGAGGGUACUGGUAGCCGCAUAAAACAAGUUGGGGCAUAUUCCAACAAAAUAGAACAUUUUGUGAAAGAGUGUAUAUGAAAAAGUUACUUCUUCCUUGAAUGUGUAAUAGAAUUCACCAGUGGAACCACCAGGGAUUGACAAUUUCUUUAUGGGUAGCCCUACAAUUUCAACCACAUCCUUGCCAAAGCUUUGGUGACUAGAGUGCUCUGGGAUCCUGAGAAGAAGAAAAGAAAAUGAGACCAAUAUUGAGACAGGACAAAUUAAAUUAUUGAAGAUCUUCGUGUCUGAUUAAUUUGUUUCAUGAUUAGUUUUCAGAAUACAGAGUUUUAUGAGGAAUAGACAUAAGAUAGGUACAUUCUGAGGAAGAAAAAGAGAAGUAGACCCUAAAAAUGUGGGUAUAUGAUCUUGCUGAGGCAGUCAGGCUAGAUACAGAGAAGCUCCAAGAAGGCCUAGGGCAGGGGGAGAAGAUUGAGAGAGGGCUGCAUGGGUGGGAAGGAAAGAGCCCUCAAAGAAUGAAGAGAUAAUGUGUGUGGUUUCACAAAAGGUCAAUCUAAGAGAAAGGAACAAUCAUAGUGUUCUUUCCACAGAUGAAAUCCAAGGUUAAAGUGGGAGAGUAUGACAGGCACUUAGAUGCUAAUCAUGAAACCAGAUAAAACUUAACUUUAAAAAAUAUUUAUUAUACAUAUGCGCACACACACACAAAACUAAUGUUUGUUUAGAAUCUAUUCAAGGUCACAGACUACCUCUCCAGCCUCAUCUCCUGCAACAAUCAUCACACACACCCUCCUAUGUGUGAUGGCCACAUGGACGAAUGGACAUUUCCAAGCUAACAGCACAUUGCUAAGUUUCUGUGGGCAGGUGAGCAGCACAAAGUCAGGGGCAGGUUACUCUUGUCUAGGAACCUCAUAAGUCCAUUUCUCUCCAGGUCAAUGCUGCUGCUUUUGUGAAGCUUUCACAGACUCCCUAGGAUGCAAUUAUCUUGCCCUCUUUGCUGUAGGAGAUUGGUCAGGGUGGUGGGAAAAAUUAUAGGGAAACACACAAACCUUCUUGGAAGGCUGGGAGGUUUUGCAAAGCUUUGGGAGAGAAUAAAAGCUAAAGGCAGCGAAUUCUCUUACCCUGAGGCACAGGGCAAAGGGUAGAUAACAAGAGAAUGUAAAGAAACUUACCUAGAUAAAUUGGUUUACUUAUGUCUCUGGAAAUCAACCUUUGAUCAUUCACAUGUAGGAGUGCUCUGUACUCGGGGGUCGACAAUGUUAAUCACCCACAAACUGUGUUUGCUCUAGG
rnacentral:lncRNA from 1 species